GUCGCAUUUAGAGCAGUUGGCGAGGAGGAAGGUCCAAGAAAGAUGACCAGAUUUAGAAAGACUCCUGCUAGGUUAGAAGAUUUUACCUAUAGAGCUGUAGUUAAAAUAUAAAAAAACACAAAUGUUUAAAAUAAUGACUUGAGUAUUGUAAAUUUUAAUAAAUUAAUUAACCCACAACUCAUCCUUAAACCAUUCAUAUAUUAAAAGGUUUAUUGAAUCAUUUUUUAUUUAUAAUAUUUAUUUAAAAUAUAAAAUAUCCAUUUAUCACUUGCUUUCAUCUCUCAUGUACAUAUUUCAUUUGCUACUGUAAAUGAAAAAAUAACAGGUAACUCUAUCUCAACAUUCUAAAUUAAGGAAAAGCAAAUGAGCUGAAUGCAGGCAUGUUAAGUAUUAACUGUGUCUCUUUGUACAAAGGACUUUCUGCCCAAUGUGUACAAAAAGCAAGACCCAGCUUUUUUUUUCAAUUUAUUGUUUUUUGAUGAGGUUAUCCCUAUUAAUUGGUCAAGCUCCUCAAUCUAAUAAUUUCAUCCUGUUAAAAAAAUUAAUAAUUUUUUCAAUAUUUUUAAUCAGAAGCUCCGAAUCCUUGGCACCAUUACUUCCUUCUCAC
rnacentral:misc_RNA from 1 species